rnacentral:rRNA from 1 species
AGAACGAACGCUGGCGGCAGGCUUAACACAUGCAAGUCGAGCGCACCGCAAGGUGAGCGGCAGACGGGUGAGUAACGCGUGGGAAUCUACCCAGUCCUUCGGAAUAACACAGGGAAACUUGUGCUAAUACCGGAUACGCCCUACGGGGGAAAGAUUUAUCGGGAUUGGAUGAGCCCGCGUUGGAUUAGCUAGUUGGUGGGGUAAUGGCCUACCAAGGCGACGAUCUAUAGCUGGUCUGAGAGGAUGAUCAGCCACACUGGGACUGAGACACGGCCCAGACUCCUACGGGAGGCAGCAGUGGGGAAUAUUGGACAAUGGGCGAAAGCCUGAUCCAGCCAUGCCGCGUGAGUGAUGAAGGCCUUAGGGUUGUAAAGCUCUUUCAGUAGGGAAGAUAAUGACGGUACCUACAGAAGAACGCCCGGCUAACUCGUGCCAGCAGCCGC